rnacentral:lncRNA from 1 species
AUGAGAUUACAGUCAAGGGUGCCACGGUGGGGGGCACCCCACUGCAUCCCAGCCUGGCCAGCGGGGAGGGCGCCAUCGAUCCAGCUUUCUGGUCACAUGCUUCUUCCUAGAGGGACAAAGCCCCAAGGCAGUGAGGACUCACUCUGCCCCUGUGGCUCGGCUGGGCCCCACACUCCUGUCCCCGAGAAGCCCACUCAGGGCCCUGGAGGCGGGGGCACACCCCAGGUGGUUCCCUCCCGUCUUCAUAUGAGGUUCCAGGUGAGGGCCUUCCUGGAUGGAGGAUGGAGGAUGGAAGGCCAGGAGUCCCAGCUCCAGCCAGGCCACCCCUGGAGCAGCAGGAACUGGGACAGGGGAGUUUCUGGCUUGUGUGCUUGGCUGUUGCCCUGGCUCCAGCUGUUCCUGCUGCGCCUGCAGAGCCUCGUUCUCGCUGUGUCCUGGCUGCUGGGCCCCCGUCCUCGCCUGCCACUUCUCUCUCUCGGCACAGGACGCUCCCUGACUCAGCUGUCGGGGGGUUCUUCCACGCUCCCCGGGUGAUCCGAAUUGUUACAUCUUUGUGUUUUUGCAAGAAACAUUUCCCUCUUGCCAUGUCCCUGUCUUUCUGGCUCAGCUGUCUCUCUUGAAGGCCGCCUCCUCCCCUUACGUGGGGGCCGUGCCUCCCACAUCACACUGUAAAUGUCAGAGUUUUCCUCUUUCUCCAGAAAAUUAUCUUAAAAAAUUCUUCUGUGUCUUCAGAAUAAGGCUCCUUCUUCCGUGUUUCAUGCUCUUUCCCCAUAAUCCUGCACGCCCCUCCUUCUCCAAGGAAGGGCCGUCCGUUGAGACCCCAGUGGCCCCUCGUGAGCCCAGCAGAGCUGCCUCCUUGGUUUGGCUCAAUUCCCCCCAGUCUCCGUCUCACACGGCUGCCCUGUGAGCUCUUUGUGCAGGGGUGUGAAAGUCAGCCCCUCUGACCCCCACGGGCCCCCAGGGCCUGCUGGGUCUGGACAGACUCGGAGAACCAGUCCCUGCCCAUCUGCUGAGCACUGGUAGAGUUGUUGCAAACCCACUCUGGGCGUGGGCUGGUUCUGAGAAGGUUGGCUGUUCCUUUUCUGCAGGUUCCUGAUGUUCCUGACAGUGACUGAUCCCUGCAAGGGCCUCCGCGAGAGCUGUCAGGCACUGUGCAAGUGGGCGCAGCGUUGCCGUGGAGACCCGAGGAUCCCGGGCUCCAGGCUGCGUACCCUCCAGCCCAAUGCCCAGCCCUGCCCUGAGGAGAGAGCCAGGCACAGAGGGGUCGCGCCCCUGACGACUUGAUGGGAGGUCACCUUGCACUGCUUACCAGCAAGAUGUGGUAUCUAUUCC